rnacentral:lncRNA from 1 species
CUGACGACCAUUUGCUCGCCAACCACAGCCGAGCCGCCCAAGGUCCUCUCCACUAACGAGGUUAGAUCAGAGUAAAGGGUUUCGUUGGUUCUCACUGAAACACUAGCAUUCAGACUUAUUCUUGAGCUCAUUCUUUUUUUGAACUUUAAUGCUUGUAACUGUUUUGACAGGAGACACAUGGAAUACCGGCCCUCAGUAAGUGUGUGUGUGUGUGUGUGUGUGUGUGUGUGUGUAUGUUGUUGAAGUCGGUUUAUGUGCUUUUAAGUUGUUGUGUUGUUCUUUACUAGAAGUUCAUGAAUCAUCAGACAAAGUUCAGCUGGAAUCUCAGUGAGUAUCAGAUCAGAUCUUUGUCUUGAGCUGAUGUGAAGGUGCUACAAAAAGGUCAAGAUGAAGAUUUCUCCCCUCUCUCUUCAGCUAAUGUUUUAACUUUACUCUCUGUGUGUGUGUGUGUGUGUGUGUAGAGGUGGUUCCAGCAGCUCCAGUGUCUCUGACAGCAGUUCAGACACUGACAGUGAAAAGAGCAGCAGCCCAGAUGAACCAGCAGCUCCUGAGACAUUACACACACAGCCACAGAAAGAGAGUGACUGGCAGCUAGGACGGUGGUUAGAAAGGAAAGGAAACCAGCACCAGCAGAACCCUAGGAGCCCAUGUGAUGCCAUCAGGCCCAACUCCCAUGAUUCCUCUGACAGGACUGAGGCUCCAGGGUCACAGACUUGCCACAGUGACCCAGCUGACGGCGGCAAAGCGUCCGAUCUCAGACAGACUGUGGGGAGCACGAGCAUGUGUGAGGAUCUGCUGUUAGAAAGCACAUCCACACACAGACCCAAACACAAGAGAAGGAAAACGGCACAUCACACAGAGCAGAAGAGAACGACAGCAGACACCAACAACAUCAGCAAACAAACACAUUCGCCACUGCUGGUGAAGAUCAAGCUGAAGCUGCUCUCCAGGAUCCCACGGGAGCCCAAAGCAGCUCCGCCUCACACAGAGAACAGCAGAGCAUCGAGACGCAAGAGAGCGGUGAGCACAGCUAACACCUGACCCCUGACCCCUGACUCACUACUGCUGCAGAGUAACGAAGAGCUGCCAUCGAACAUUCCAGAAUCACGUUCACUCAUUUUAUUGUAUGUGA